rnacentral:rRNA from 1 species
GGUAAAACCAGCACCUCAAGUGGUCAGGAUGAUUAUUGGGCCUAAAGCAUCCGUAGCCGGCUCUGUAAGUUUUCGGUUAAAUCUGUACGCUCAACGUACAGGCUGCCGGGAAUACUGCAGAGCUAGGGAGUGGGAGAGGUAGACGGUACUCGGUAGGAAGGGGUAAAAUCCUUUGAUCUAUUGAUGACCACCUGUGGCGAAGGCGGUCUACCAGAACACGUCCGACGGUGAGGGAUGAAAGCUGGGGGAGCAAACCGGAUUAGAUACCCGGGUAGUCCCAGCUGUAAACUAUGCAAACUCAGUGAUGCAUUGGCUUGUGGCCAAUGCAGUGCUGCAGGGAAGCCGUUAAGUUUGCCGCCUGGGAAGUACGUACGCAAGUAUGAGGUAAAACCAGCACCUCAAGUGGUCAGGAUGAUUAUUGGGCCUAAAGCAUCCGUAGCCGGCUCUGUAAGUUUUCGGUUAAAUCUGUACGCUCAACGUACAGGCUGCCGGGAAUACUGCAGAGCUAGGGAGUGGGAGAGGUAGACGGUACUCGGUAGGAAGGGGUAAAAUCCUUUGAUCUAUUGAUGACCACCUGUGGCGAAGGCGGUCUACCAGAACACGUCCGACGGUGAGGGAUGAAAGCUGGGGGAGCAAACCGGAUUAGAUACCCGGGUAGUCCCAGCUGUAAACUAUGCAAACUCAGUGAUGCAUUGGCUUGUGGCCAAUGCAGUGCUGCAGGGAAGCCGUUAAGUUUGCCGCCUGGGAAGUACGUACGCAAGUAUGA